AUGUCGAAGAUAAAUACAACCGCUCAGCUUGGGUCAUCAUGGUACUAAGGUGGUGUUUGUGACUGCUUAUUAAAAAUGUUUAUCUGCUUAUUUUGUCAAUUUAAACAAUCAAAGUAUCUUGAAACAUUUAUUAUUGUAUCGAAAGUUCGAAACGCAAUAAACAGAUAAGCAGUUUUAAUAAGCGAACCCUCAAAACUCCCGAAAGAUAAUCAUUAUAAAUUUACAAUCUCAUUCAUAUAGUAUCAAAACACUGCAGGCUUUACUGGAAUUGAUGAUCCUUAUGAACCACCGCUGAACUGUGAGAUCAAGAUUGAACAGAAGAAUGGAGUUUGUCCCACACCAUGUGAUAUGGCUGCGCAAGUGGUUUCGUACUUAGAUGGAAAUGGUUUCCUUCGCGCUUAAAAGUUAAAAUAAAUAAUAAUCUAACUUUGAACCUUUUGGUUUUAGGAAUAUGAUAUGAAGUUAUGAACCAUGGUUUUGAGUUCAUUCUCUAAACUCCUGAAAAUGAUCAUGUAAAGUUGACUACAAAACGUUUGAAAAUUCACUAUAUUAUUAGAGUGAUGAUUGUUAGUAUGUUGUAAGCAUUGUGUCAGUUUUUAUGAAUUUUCAAAUGGUUAAUGUCUAAAAAUAUCAUACCUGAAACUAUUGUA
rnacentral:lncRNA from 1 species